CAGUAAACGGCGGCCGUAACUAUAACGGUCCUAAGGUAGCGAAAUUCCUUGUCGGGUAAGUUCCGACCCGCACGAAAGGCGUAACGAUUUGGGCACUGUCUCAACGAGAGACUCGGUGAAAUCAUAGUACCUGUGAAGAUGCAGGUUACCCGCGACAGGACGGAAAGACCCCGUGGAGCUUUACUGUAGCCUGAUAUUGAAAUUCGGCACAGCUUGUACAGGAUAGGUAGGAGCCUUUGAAACGUGAGCGCUAG
rnacentral:rRNA from 1 species